CUCAGUUCCAGUUCCGGAUGCAAGGUACAGGAGUUUCAGUGUGAAAAUAAACAAUGCAUACCAAUCAGUAGAUAUUGUGAUUACAUCCAAGACUGUGAUGAUGCAUCGGACGAACGUUCCUGCGUUUGGCCAGAUUGCAAAAACCAUGAAUUUCGUUGUGAAAACGGACAAUGUGUGCCCAAGUAUGACAGAUGCGACAUAAAAUUUGAUUGUUUGGACAAGUCGGAUGAGCGCGACUGUGAAAGUGUUCGUUGCCCAAAGGGUGGAACAAUGUUCACUUGUCCCGGAGAAAAUACAUGCAUCCCGCUGAGUAAAAUGUGUGACGGUUUUGUCGACUGUCAAGGU